UCACAGUGUGGGAUUUGUGUUACAGGAGGCCAAAUGUGGCUUUGCCAUCAUCCUGAUGGCUCUGUACUGGUGCACAGAGUGCAUUCCGCUGGCUGCUCCCUGUCAUCCUCUUCCCCUUGAUGGGGAUCAUGCAGGCCUCAGAGGUGUCUAUCCAGUAUCUGAAAGACUCUAACAUGCUGUUCAUUGGGGGUCUACUGGUGGCCAUUGCGGUGGAGCAUUGGAACCUUCACAAGCGCAUUGCUCUGCGUGUGCUGCUCCUGGUUGGGGUGAAACCAGCUCUCCUCAUGAUUGGGUUCAUGGGCACCACA